UGGGGAAUAUUGCACAAUGGGCGCAAGCCUGAUGCAGCCAUGCCGCGUGUGUGAAGAAGGCCUUCGGGUUGUAAAGCACUUUCAGUGGGGAGGAAGGCGUUAAGGUUAAUAACCUUGGCGAUUGACGUUACCCGCAGAAGAAGCACCGGCUAACUCCGUGCCAGCAGCCGCGGUAAUACGGAGGGUGCAAGCGUUAAUCGGAAUUACUGGGCGUAAAGCGCACGCAGGCGGUCUGUCAAGUCGGAUGUGAAAUCCCCGGGCUCAACCUGGGAACUGCAUUCGAAACUGACAGGCUAGAGUCUUGUAGAGAGGGGUAGAAUUCCAGGUGUAGCGGUGAAAGGCGUAGAGAUCUGGAGGAAUACCGGUGGCGAAGGCGGCCCCCUGGACAAAGACUGACGCUCAGGUGCGAAAGCGUGGGGAGCAAACAGG
rnacentral:rRNA from 1 species